rnacentral:rRNA from 1 species
AAUAAACUUUUUUAAUAGAAAAAUUGAAUUUUACAUUUUAAUUAAAAGGUUAAAAUGAUUUUAAAAGACGAGAAGACCCUAUAGAUUUUUAUAAUUUGUAUUUAAUAUUUUAAAAAAUUUAAUAAAUAUUUUUAUUUUUAUAAAUUAUUUUGUUGGGGUGAUAAUAAAAUUUAAUUAACUUUUAUUUUUUUUAUACAUUAAUAUAUGGAAAAUUGAUCCAUUACUAAUGAUUAAAAAAUUAAAUUACCUUAGGGAUAACAGCGUAAUUUUUUUUUUAAGUUCAUAUUAAUAAAAAAUUUUGCGACCU